UUCCUACCUUCCGUCAAUGGCACUGGAAGAAUUCACGGGUCUUGAUAGAAAUACCGUGACUUCUCCGGUGCUGUGGACGGCGGCUAGGCC
rnacentral:pre_miRNA from 1 species